rnacentral:rRNA from 1 species
UACGGAGGGUGCAAGCGUUGCUCGGAAUUAUUGGGCGUAAAGGGUAGGUAGGUGGUCUUAUUUGUCUGAGGUGAAAGCCUUGAGCUUAACUCAAGAAGUGCCUCAGAAACGGUAAGACUAGAGUCCUGGAGAGGGUCGUGGAAUUCCCGGUGUAGCGGUGAAAUGCGUAGAGAUCGGGAGGAACACCAGAGGCGAAGGCGGCAUCCUGGACCAACACUGACGCUGAGGCACGAAAGCGUGGGGAGCAAACAGG